UCUGUAAAUUCAUCAACCUAGAAGUCAACCAAAAAUAUUGGGUCCCAAAGCCCACAAAUCAGUUCAAGCAUUAAUGGCUAAUACAUAUCCUUCCCAAAAAAUAGAGUACUAGAUUUCUAAACUAACGUAUAGAUUGCACCACCAAUGUCAGACUUCAAGCAUCUCUAUCAUUAUAACCAACAGCCUCCUCAUGAUCAAUAUCAAAUUGGACUGCAUUGAAAAUAAAGUAUUAUAUGCAUUAGAAUAGACUUUAGUCAGAAAAUAUGCUAUUACAACCUUAUAUGACUAAAUUUGAAUGAAUAGUCAUACACAACAAUGCUUUAAGAUACUUCGAAUUAGUUUGGGUAUCUUGGUUUGGUUUUUUGUACACAUACUUCAAAUAAUUUUACAAUUUGAAGUGAUAUUUACUUUUCAGAAUUUCCAAUGCAUGUUUCUUGUAUAUGCUUUCUUUUUGAGUUUGCAAACAAGGCGCAAAUGAAAGUAAGAGGACAUAGAGGUGCUGAUCCUAUUUUUGAUGAAAUUUUGGUUACAAUUAAUCUAUACGUGAUCAUAUAUAGUCAAAUGUUUAUAAAUGAGAGCAUUUUCUUUCAGCUACUACUUUUGGUUAUUGAGUUUGUGAUAAAAAUAACUGAAUUCCAAUAUAUAACUCAACUUUGACAUCUAUUUCUAGGUAAAAAACAGGAUCGAAAGGAUUUGUGGCUGUUUUAAAACAAUAUUGGAAACUUAAAAUAAUUUUCAUAUUAAAACAAUAUUAUCCAGUUUUCAAAGAAAGAAAAGGGUCCAAGUAACUUAAACCACAAUGAGAAAAAUAACUUGGAAAAGUUCUUGCCUUUGAAUGUUAAAUGUCUAAGCAGUUAACAAGUUGUGUAUAAUCUAAAAUAUUGGAAAGUCAAUUGCAUAAUUGCACUUUAUUUGUAAUAUCUACAGAUAUGCUCAAAGAGGAGCAAGGGAAUCAACAUGUAUUUUCUAAUAUUCUUUGUGGAAGAAACAUAUGAAAGAGAGUAAGCAUCACCUUCUGACAAAGUGAAAUAGCCUCUAAGUUGUGUUCCUGCUCUUCAAUUAAUCUUCUCUCAAGCUCCUUAACCUGAAAAUGGAGAAGAGAACUGGUUAUUUAAGCUUCUCUGGCCACCAGUUGAAGCAUGAAAUGGUGCUGAUGUUGCUAGUUGGAUGAACAACCUUUUGUUGAGAAUCAAAGGGAGGCUAAUGUUGCUGAAGCCAAUGCUCUUCUAGCUACCAGAAAGGCUGGAUGGGCUUAGCAGGCAAAGAUGGCUGAAGUGGAGGCUGAAAAAGCUGCAGCUAUUAGGGAGGCAGAGUUACAAAAAAGAAGUUGAGAGGAAAAAUGCAUUGGCCAAGACUGAGCAACUAAAGGCUAAACAACUCAGCAAGGCUACUGUUGAUUAUGAGAUUAAGGUUCAAGAGGCAAAUUCAGUUCUCUACAAGAAGCAAAAGGAAUCUGAGGCAGUGCUAUACGAGAGACAAAAGGCUGUAGAAGCUCAAAAAGUGGUAGCAGAAGCUCAACUAUAUGCAGUUCAACAAGCUGUAGAUGCAGAACUUUAUGCAAAAAAGAAAGAAGCUAAAGGAAUGAAGGCUCUUGCAGAAGCACAAGGAUUCAAAAUCCGCACCUUAUUGACAUCAUUGGGUGGAAACUACAAUGCUUUUAAGAGAUUGUCUGAUGAUUGAAAGUGGCAUGUUCAAGGACAUUGCCAAAAUCAAUGCUGAGGCGAUCCAAGGACUACAAC
rnacentral:lncRNA from 1 species